UAGUUUUGUUCUUUAAACCUAAAGAAUUUGGCGGUGUUUUAUUCUAUUCAGAGGAAUUUGCCCUUUAAUCGAUAGUCCUCGUUUUAUCUUGCUUGUUUUAUUUGUAUGUAUACCGCCGUUAUAAGUUUAUUUUUUUAGAUUAUUUACUUUAUAUUAUAUUGAAUUUUAUUUCAGGUCAAGGUGCAGCUUAUAAUUAAGUUGUGGUGAAUUACAAUAAUUUAAUUAUACGGAUUUUUAUUUUAAAUAUUUAUUGAAGGUGGAUUUGAUAGUAAUAUUAAUAAUAGAGUUAAUUUGAUUUAAGUUCUAAAAUGAGUACACAUCGCCCG
rnacentral:rRNA from 1 species